rnacentral:rRNA from 1 species
GAUUUUCGCAAUGCCCGAAAGGGUGACGAAGCGACGCCGCGUGGGUGAGGAAGGCCCUCGGGUUGUAAAGCCCUGUCAGGAGUUAAGAAAUGUAAGUGCGCUAAUAUCGCAUUUAUUUGACGAAGGCUCCAAAGGAAGCCACGGCUAACUCUGUGCCAGCAGCCGCGAUAAUACAGAGGUGGCAAGCGUUGUUCGGAAUUAUUGGGCGUAAAGAGCACGUAGGUGGGUUUGUAAGUCAGAUGUGAAAGCCUUCUGUUCAACGGAAGAAUUGCAUCUGAAACUGCGAGUCUUGAGUGUAGGAGGGGAGAAUGGAACUUCUGGUGGAGCGGUGAAAUGCGUAGAUAUCAGAAGGAACGCCGGUGGCGAAAGCGAUUCUCUGGCCUAUUACUGACACUCAGUGUGCGAAAGCUAGGGGAGCAAACGGGAUUAGAUACCCCGGUAGUCCUAGCCGUAAACGAUGGGCACUAAGUAGAGGGG